CGGCUGGAAAAAAUAUUUUGAGCGAGUUACAUAGAUUCGAGCGAGCGGCGUUCGUUAUCGGAGUAGAGAGAGGGAUGAGAGAGAUAGAAGCCAGAGCUGGAGUUUUUCGCCAAGGAGGUAACGUAGGAGUAGCGAAGAUGAGAGAAGAGCAAGGAGGAGAGAAGAUGUUAAGGAGAAGAAGAUUGAUUACUCACGGUCAACCAAAGGCUACGAUGAUAUGGGGAUAGUCGUCAAGCAAAUCCUGAAGUUCAAAUUGUUGCUCCUCAGGGUACUAAAGAAUGGAUCGCCAAACUCGAAGUGCGACUCAGCAUAACGGUGCUAAACCGGCUGGAUCCGUCACCAAGCAGGUGAAGCUUGCGUCGCCGAAGAAGAUAUCUGGUUAUGUUCCGCCGAUGGUCAUUUUUGUUUCCGCUCUGAUUUUCCCGACGUUGUCGUCGAUUCAUUGCUAUCGGGACCUGAGAAGAAACAUGAUAUCUCAAGCAGAAAAUAUCAUUGUGGAAAAUAAUUGUCUACUAGACGCAGCAGCACCAAUUCCUUCUGGAAAUCAAUCCUUAGAAACGGGAAUUCCAGGUUACCAAAAGAAAUCAUUCAAAUCCGCUAUGCGUUAUCUUCUCACUGCUUGUUCAAAACAGGUAUAUUUCGAUUUCAUUUCUGAAAUUGUCUUGCAAUCUGGGUUUAUUAUUGGAACUUGAACUACAUUGAUAGUCAAGGUUUUCGAUUGGAAUUUUUUUCUUAUUAAGUCAUCCUGAUUUAUUAAUUGUCUCAUCCAUAUAUAUUGUACUAAGUGGUUUUGAAUCGAUCUAUAAAGAUUUAGUGUCCACGCAAUCAUGAACAUGUGGAUAUCCCAUCCUCUUCUCGACUAUCUUCGGUUUUCUAGUGUAUCAGCUCAAUAGUUUCAAAUGAUAGUGUCCACACAAACAUGAAUACAUGGAUACCCCCAUCCCCUUAUCGAUCUUAUAGCAUCCACGCAACUACGGACAUUAGUUCCUUUGAAAUUGGGUUUGUUUUUUUUAAAGAAAGAAAUCAAGAUGGUUGAUCAAAGAAGUGGUAGAUUUGAAGGAAAGAACAAAUUAUGGUACAAAUGUGAGCGUGAACAAUAUGUUAAGAGAUUGCAGCAGCAGUAGUAAGAGGAGAUUAACUUACGGUUACACUCUAGUUCGCCGUUCAUGGAUUCGCCUUGCCAACUUCCCGAUAUGGUCAAUCCUUUACCCUACAUAUUGUUGCCUUUGGUUUUGAAGUUUGUAAAGGACAAUACAAGUAGAAUGAAGAAGCAAGGAAAAAUGAUGUAAACAAGUAGUUAUGUGGUUAAUGAUGUAAUCCUUUACCCUACAAAUUGUUGCUUUUUAUUGUCGUUGGCUUUCUUCUA